GAUGAAGAACGUAGCGAAAUGCGAUAAGUAAUGCGAAUUGCAGAAUUCAGUGAGUCAUCGAAUCUUUGAACGCACAUUGCGCCCUGUGGUAUUCCGCAGGGCAUGCCUGUUCGAGCGUCAUUUCAACCCUCAAGCCUCGCUUGGUGUUGGGCCCUGCCCGCCGCGGCCGGCCCUAAAGAUAGUGGCGGCGCCGCCUGGCCCUCAGCGUAGUACAGCUCUCGCUCCAGGGUCCGGCGGCAGCCUGCCAGAACCCCCCAACUCUGUGGUUGACCUCGGAUCAGGUAGGGAUACCCGCUGAACUUAAGCAUAUCAAUAAGCGAGGA
rnacentral:misc_RNA from 1 species